rnacentral:tRNA from 1 species
ACCUGGGUGGCUCAGUCGGUUGAGCAACUGACUGUGGCUCAGGUCAUGAUCUCAUGAUUUGUGGGUUCGAGACCCAUGUCAGGCU